UACGGAGGGAGCAAGCGUUGUUCGGAAUUACUGGGCGUAAAGCGCAUGUAGGCGGCCUGACAAGUCGGGUGUGAAAUCCCGGAGCUCAACUCCGGAACUGCAUCCGAUACUGUCAGGCUCGAGUCUCGGAGAGGAUGGCGGAAUUUCCGGUGUAGAGGUGAAAUUCGUAGAUAUCGGAAGGAACACCAGUGGCGAAGGCGGCCGUCUGGACGAUGACUGACGCUGAGAUGCGAAAGCGUGGGGAGCAAACAGG
rnacentral:rRNA from 1 species